UCUGAAUAUGGGGGGACCAUCCUCCAAGGCUAAAUACUACUGACUGACCGAUAGUGAACCAGUACCGUGAGGGAAAGGCGAAAAGAACCCCUGUGAGGGGAGUGAAAUAGAACCUGAAACCGUGUACGUACAAGCAGUAGGAGCAGGCUUUGUCCUGUGACUGCGUACCUUUUGUAUAAUGGGUCAGCGACUUAUAUUCAGUGGCAAGGUUAACCAUCUAGGGGAGCCGUAGGGAAACCGAGUCUUAACUGGGCGUUCAGUCUCUGGAUAUAGACCCGAAACCAGGUGAUCUAGCCAUGGGCAGGUUGAAGGUUGAGUAACAUCAACUGGAGGACCGAACCGACUAAUGUUGAAAAAUUAGCGGAUGACUUGUGGCUAGGGGUGAAAGGCCAAUCAAACCUGGAGAUAGCUGGUUCUCCCCGAAAGCUAUUUAGGUAGCGCCUCGGACGAAUACUACUGGGGGUAGAGCACUGUUAAGGCUAGGGGGUCAUCCCGACUUACCAACCCUUUGCAAACUCCGAAUACCAGUAAGUACUAUCCGGGAGACACACGGCGGGUGCUAACGUCCGUCGUGGAGAGGGAAACAACCCAGACCGCCAGCUAAGGUCCCAAAUUACUACUAAGUGGGAAACGAUGUGGGAAGGCUCAGACAGCCAGGAUGUUGGCUUAGAAGCAGCCAUCAUUUAAAGAAAGCGUAAUAGCUCACUGGUCGAGUCGGCCUGCGCGGAAGAUGUAACGGGGCUAAGUAGUAAACCGAAGCUGCGGCAAUACAGUUUACUGUAUUGGGUAGGGGAGCGUUCUGUAAGCGGUUGAAGGUGUGUGGUAACGCAUGCUGGACGUAUCAGAAGUGCGAAUGCUGACAUGAGUAACGAUAAAGGGGGUGAAAAACCUCCUCGCCGGAAGACCAAGGGUUCCUGUCCAACGUUAAUCGGGGCAGGGUAAGUCGACCCCUAAGGCGAGGCCGAAAGGCGUAGUCGAUGGGAAACGGGUUAAUAUUCCCGUACUUCUUACAAUUGCGAUGGGGGGACGGAGAAGGCUAGGUGGGCCUGGCGACGGUUGUC
rnacentral:rRNA from 1 species